rnacentral:rRNA from 1 species
GACGAACGCUGGCGGCGUGCUUAACACAUGCAAGUCGAACGGAAAGGCCCCCACCUUGGUGGGGGUGCUCGAGUGGCGAACGGGUGAGUAACACGUGGGUGAUCUGCCCUGCACUUCGGGAUAAGCUUGGGAAACUGGGUCUAAUACCGGAUAGGACCAUGGUUUAGUGUCUCAUGGUGGAAAGAUUAUUGUUUUGGUGCAGGAUGAGCUCGCGGCCUAUCAGCUUGUUGGUGGGGUAAUGGCCUACCAAGGCGUCGACGGGUAGCCGGCCUGAGAGGGUGGACGGCCACAUUGGGACUGAGAUACGGCCCAGACUCCUACGGGAGGCAGCAGUGGGGAAUAUUGCACAAUGGGCGCAAGCCUGAUGCAGCGACGCCGCGUGGGGGAUGACGGCCUUCGGGUUGUAAACUCCUUUCGUUAGGGACGAAGCCGCACCUUUUUUGGGU